GGAGAGGGUUCCGCUGGUGACUGAAAUCAUCCAGAGCUCCUGUGCUAUAAUGGCAGUUUGAACCGCUGGAGCCGAGAUUUGAGCCCCGGGACCCAUCAGUCCUGCUGGACCGUCUGUGAAACUGGUCCUGAACCCAGUGACCUCCGCCUCUGGGGGCAAUUCCAUCUCCAGUGGUUUUUGCCACAGGCUGGACAGGGUCGAAGUUGCUUCGUCUUGCUGCCUGGGCAAUCCUUAAAAUGCCCUGGCCUGCCACAUCAAUAGCAACUAGCAGAUGCACCUUGGGGAUUCUGGAUGUUGCAAGCCUGCAAAGCUGCUGCUAGAGCCUCUGUCCGUCUCCCGAGCUUGCUCUCUUUCUUUUGGGCAUCCUCCUCCUGGUCCAUAUUAUUAAAGACCGAAGUGGCCACUUUCAGGAGGCUCUCUAAGGUGCUGUCUGGUCCUGUACCUUGGUUUUGUAGUUUCCUUCUACUAUCAGGAGCUGCCUUGUGUAAUAAACUUGUCCUUCAGGAUGAGCUGUUCCUCAACUGAAUUACGGGAUAAGGAGGUAUACUCUAUUAGUGCCUUUCCAUAAAGGCUACAGGAGUCUUAUCUGGCUUUUGGUCCAUUAUAGACAGUUUAGAGUAUGAUACCUUGUUUUAACCUGAAUUGACUCUCCCUUAGCUGAGAGAGCCAGACAGACACCAUCUUGGCUCCUUCACUUACAGCCCCUUACUCACCCCCUUCCUCAAGGACUUAACUUGUGCAAGCUGACUCCCAGCACAUCCAAGAGUGCAAUUAACUGAUAAGAUACUGUGGCAAGCUAUAUCUGCAGUUCCUAGGAAUUUGCCCAGUUGAUAGCACCCAGAGCCCCCCGCGUUUGUGUCCGGUUGAUAACACCCAAAGCCCCGCGCCUAUCACCUUGUGAUGGAUUUAAAACCCCUGCACCUGGAACCGUUUGCUUUCCUGUAACCAUUUAUCCUUUUUACUUUUUGCCUGCUUUAUUUCUGUAAGAUUGUUUUAACUAGACUCCCCCCACUCCCCUUUCUAAACCAAAGUAUAAAAGAAAAUCUAACCCCUUCUUCAGGGCCGAGAGAAUCUUGAGCACUAGCCGUCUCUCGGUCUCUGGCUAAUAAAGGACUCCUGAAUUUGUCUCAGCGUGUGGCGUUUCUCUGUAACUUGCUCGGUUACAACAAGAAUAAUUGAGGCUGGGCACAGUGGCUCACGCCUGUAAUCCCAGCACUUUGAUAGGCCGAGGCAGGCGGAUAACGAGGUCAAGGGAUCGAGACCAUCCUGGCUAACGCGGUGAAACCCCAUCUCUACUAAAAAUACAAAAAAUUGGCCGGGCAUGGUAGCAGGUGCCUGUAGUCCCAGCUACUCGGGAGGCCGAGGCAGGAGAAUGGCGUGAACCCAGGAGAAUGGCGUGAACCCAGGAGGUGGAGCUUGCAGUGAGCAGAGAUGGCACCACUACACUCCAGCCUGGGCGACAGAGCGAGACUCCGUCUAAAAAAAAAAUAAAAAAUAAAAAAAAGUAAUAGAGAGGUUGGCCUUGGUUUUCUAAAAUGCAUAUUACAAAGUGCUUUAUCUUCCGCUUAUCCCCCUGAGCUAAUGGGGUACCAUUAGGACCCAAAAUUCCGUUGAUAUCUAAAGUUUAUUUUGCUGUACAACUCUGGUUUUUGUGGGUUCUUUUUUUCUUUUUUUUUUUUCUAGAGUUUUACUUGCUUCUAACACAAAAAAGGCCAGGUUUUCCUUCAGGCAACUCCUUUAUGGAGUUUGAGCUUGCCUUCAACAGGAAAGAUGAGGUUUUUUGCCCUGCUCCCCUAAUGGUAGAGAGCAGGCUUCAACCUGUGACCCAUGAUCCCUAGAUAAGUAACUGAGUUGGGGAUUGUCUUGGCCAAAGAGAAGAGUAGCAACCAGCUGGUCUUCAUUUCUUGUUACCAUCAGAGCACUCCAUAAUCAUAUAAGUUGUGUGAUCAUUUGUUUUGCUUAAAUGUUUUUUGUUGUUGUUGUUUGUUUCUGUUUUCGUUGCUGUUUUGCUUUUUUUCCCCAUUGGGUUUUAUCAACUCUACCUUUUUUUUUUUUUAAUUGAGCAAAGGUUUUUUCUUCUCAGCUGACUGACUUCUGUUUUCUUCUUUUACUUCUGCUGUCUCUCCUUUCUCUUGCACCCUCUGCUGCAUGAGGAACGUGACAUAGUUUAUCAUAGUCUGAGGUUCCUUAAAGAAAAUGGAGAAGGUGCAACUCCCUUGGGGUAGACACCUGUUUUUCCUUAUCAAACCCCAAGAGUGUAAACAGAAAAGUUCAUCUCAGCUCUUAAACUGCUUGCUUUUGUAUUGUGUUACCUGAUUUAUUGACUAAAAUAGUUAUCACAACAAAGUCUACUCUUUGGGUUUUAAAGAAGUGUAUAGUUUAGACAGUUAGAAAUGUCAUUGUUUACAAAAUUUUUUUUCUAAGUGCACUGUAAAAACAUCACAUGGUCUAGCCUCAUAAUAAUUCUCCCUUUUUGGAAACACAGCAUUCAGUGUGGGUUUCUGCCCAGAGCUCAGAGAGCCAGUUAAAGGAUAGAUAAUCCCUAUCUAAAUAAAAUUGGUCUCCUUAUACCAUUCUAUGAUAAAUUUUUAUAAUUUUAUGUUUGAUUUGGCAUCCCUCUUUAAUCUCCUUCUAGCACACCAGACUCUUUCUUUCCAUACUUUAUAAUGCAAAUUUUUCUAUUUGAUUUUCACCUGAGUUGUUUCCUUUAAUAUGCAAAUUUAAGGCUAUUUCACUGACAACUGCC
rnacentral:lncRNA from 10 species